CCUCGCGGAGAAAGGGAGGAACAACUCUCCUAAGUUAGGGAGAGUACGAACUGCAUCCUAGCUGAAACGGGGAUUGCAGUGAAUUAGCGGCCCAGCUGAAAGGGGGACUGCGAGUAAAAGGGUAGCUACCGACCAAAGAGACUUAAGUGACCCAAAGAAUCGGAGGACUUGUUAAGGAACUCUUAAACACCGGAAUAAGGGAUCACUUUGCUCUUAAAGAGAAAACAUCCAGAACCUCUAAAUAGCCGGAUUUCUUUCACCAGUAAUCAAAGAAGAAUUCUCUGGACUAUCCUGAACCAUAUCCCCCAUGCCGCUGGUGAGACGCACAGUCUUCCUUCGCAUGUUCUGCCUUUGAAAACGUUUUGGAUCCACUUUAUUUGGCGCCUCCCCUGACCUUGUCACCAUGGGUAGCCCUACGAGGAACAAGGAGCUCCAGGCAGUAUUGCUCAAGUGAUCGUCGGAGCGCACACGCCUCUCCACAAUGUC